GAUGAACGCUGGCUACAGGCUUAACACAUGCAAGUCGAGGGGAAACGACAGGGAAGCUUGCUUCCUUGGGCGUCGACCGGCGCACGGGUGAGUAACGCGUAUCCAACCUGCCUCUGACUGAGGGAUAACCCGUCGAAAGUCGGCCUAAUACCUCAUGGCAUCGUCUGCGGGCAUCCAACGACGAUUAAAGAUUUCAUCGGUCAGGGAUGGGGAUGCGUCUGAUUAGCUUGUUGGCGGGGUAACGGCCCACCAAGGCUACGAUCAGUAGGGGUUCUGAGAGGAAGGUCCCCCACAUUGGAACUGAGACACGGUCCAAACUCCUACGGGAGGCAGCAGUGAGGAAUAUUGGUCAAUGGGCGGGAGCCUGAACCAGCCAAGUAGCGUGCAGGAAGACGGCCCUAUGGGUUGUAAACUGCUUUUAUGCGGGGAUAAAGUGAGGGACGUGUCCUUCAUUGCAGGUACCGCA
rnacentral:rRNA from 1 species